rnacentral:rRNA from 1 species
AUUCCAGCUCCAGUAGCGUAUAUUAAAGUUGUUGCAGUUAAAAAGCUCGUAGUUGGAUUUCUGGUUUCACAGAACUGGCCUACUUCCUCAAGGUCGUGUGCGCCGUGUUUUGUGUACCAUCCUUCUAGAAAUUGUGUUCCAUCCCUUCACUGGGAUAGAUCCGAGAUCUAGAUCUUUUACUUUGAAGAAAUUAGAGUGUUCAAAGCAGGCUCGCGCUGUGAAUACAUUAGCAUGGAAUAAUAAUUUAGGACUUGGUAUCCUAUUUUGUUGGUUUGCACGCCAAGGUAAUGAUUAAUAGGGACAGUUGGGGGUAUUCGUAUUCAAUUGUCAGAGGUGAAAUUCUUGGAUUUAUGGAAGACGAACUACUGCGAAAGCAUUUACCAAGGAUGUUUUCAUUA